rnacentral:rRNA from 1 species
AGAGUUUGAUCAUGGCUCAGGAUGAACGCUGGCGGUGUGGAUAAGGCAUGCAAGUCGAACGAGAAUUUUUAAAUUGGAGAUGAGAUUAUAUCAAGUCAAAGAAUUAUUAAUUUUAGUGGCGAACGGGGUAGUAACGCGUGGGAACUUACCUAGAAGUCUGGAAUAACUAGUCGAAAGAUUAGCUAAUACCGGAUAGACCCUCCGGGGUAAAGAUUUAUCGCUUCUAGAAAGGCCUGCGUAGUAUCAGCUAGUUGGUAAGGUAAUGGCUUACCAAGGCUACGACGCUUAGGGGAGCUGAGAGGCUGACCCCCACCAUUGGAACUGCGACACGGUCCAAACUCCUACGGGAGGCUGCAGUCGAGAAUCUUCCGCAAUGCACGAAAGUGUGACGGAGCGACACCGCGUGAUGGAUGACACCCCUCGGGGCGUAAACAUCUUUUAUGAGGGAGGAAAUUAUUGACGUUACCUCAUGAAUAAGGGGCUCCUAAUCUCGUGCCAGCAGGAGCGGUAAUACGAGAGCCCCAAGCGUUAUCCGGAAUCAUUGGGCGUAAAGGGUGCGUAGGUGGUUUGAUUAGUCUUUUGUUAAAUCUUCGAGCUCAACUCGAAACCAGCAAAGGAAACGGUCAGACUAGAGUAUGUGAGGGGUGUGUGGAACUCAUGGUGUAGGGGUGAAAUCCGUUGAUAUCAUGGGGAACACCAAAAGCGAAGGCAGCACACUGGCACAUUACUGACACUGAUGCACGAAACCCUGGGUAGCGAAUGGGAUUAGAUACCCCAGUAGUCCAGGGCCUAAACGAUGCAGAUUAGCUUUAGGGAGUAUCGACCCUCUCUGAGGCGUAGCAAACGCGUUAAAUCUGCCGCCUGGGAAGUACGAUCGCAAGAUUAAAACUCAAAGGAAUUGACGG